rnacentral:rRNA from 1 species
UAGUGAAGUCAUUGAUGCCAUGCUUCCAGGAAAAGCCUCUAAGCUUCAGAUUGUAAGGAAUCGUACCCCAAACCGACACAGGUGGUCGGGUAGAGAAUACCAAGGCGCUUGAGAGAACUCGGGUGAAGGAACUAGGCAAAAUGGUACCGUAACUUCGGGAGAAGGUACGCUCUCGACGGUGAAGUCCCUCGCGGAUGGAGCUAUUGAGAGUCGCAGAUACCAGGUGGCUGCAACUGUUUAUUAAAAACACAGCA